ensembl:snRNA U6 U6 spliceosomal RNA
UCGCUAUGGCAGCACAUAUACUAAAAUUGGAAUGAUAGAGAAAAUUAGCAUGGUCUCCGCACAAGGAUGACACAUAAAUUCACGAAGCAUUUCAUAUUUUU